rnacentral:lncRNA from 1 species
GGCAAUGGACAAAGCAAAGUAGAACUGAUAGUCAUGUGAGCUGGUUUUAGUCACAUAUAAUAAUAACAUAUUUCACAAGUCUUAACUAAAAUAAAAUUACAUAUCUAUCAACUUAAAUUUAGCUCUUCGACUAGCAGCAAGAUCGUACGUUGUAAUAAUAUCAUCAGUACUGAACAUAAUAAUUGAUGCAGCCAAUUCCUUCUCAAUAUAAUUACCAAACAAUCUCGCAGAAAUCUAUCUCCC